GCUGAACGCUGUCGGCGUGCCUAAUACCUGAAAGUCGAGCGAAGCGGGGACGGGUGAGUAACACGUGGAUAACCUCCUAUAAGACUGGGAUAACUUCGGGAACCCGGAGCUACACCGGAUACUUAUAGAUGAAUCCGCGCUGCAUUAGCUAGUUGGUAAGGUAACGGCUUACCAAGGCAACGAUGCAUAGCCGACCUGAGCUGGUGAUCAGCCUCACUGGAACUGAGACACGGUCCAGACUCCUACGGGAGGCAGCAGGAGGGAAUCUUCCGCAAUGGGCGAAAGCCUGACGGAGCAACGCAUCGUGAGUGAUGAAGGUCUUCGGAUCGUAAAACUCUGUUAUUAGGGAAGCGGGACCUAAUCAGAAAGCCACUGCUAACUACGGGCCAGCCGCCGCGGUAAGUC
rnacentral:rRNA from 1 species